CAUACACGUCGAACGGCAGCACAGAGGAGCUUGCUCCUUGGGUGGCGAGUGGCGGACGGGUGAGGAAUACAUCGGAAUCUACUCUGUCGUGGGGGAUAACGUAGGGAAACUUACGCUAAUACCGCAUACGACCUACGGGUGAAAGCAGGGGAUCUUCGGACCUUGCGCGAUUGAAUGAGCCGAUGUCGGAUUAGCUAGUUGGCGGGGUAAAGGCCCACCAAGGCGACGAUCCGUAGCUGGUCUGAGAGGAUGAUCAGCCACACUGGAACUGAGACACGGUCCAGACUCCUACGGGAGGCAGCAGUGGGGAAUAUUGGACAAUGGGCGCAAGCCUGAUCCAGCCAUACCGCGUGGGUGAAGAAGGCCUUCGGGUUGUAAAGCCCUUUUGUUGGGAAAGAAAUCCAGCCGGCUAAUACCUGGUUGGGAUGACGGUACCCAAAGAAUAAGCACCGGCUAACUUCGUGCCAGCAGCCGCGGUAAUACGAAGGGUGCAAGCGUUACUCGGAAUUACUGGGCGUAAAGCGUGCGUAGGUGGUUAUUUAAGUCCGUUGUGAAAGCCCUGGGCUCAACCUGGGAACUGCGGUGGAUACUUGGAUGACUAGAAUGUGGUAGAGGGUAGCGGAAUUCCUGGUGUACAGUGAAAUGCGUAAAGANCAGGAGGAACAUUCCAUNGCCAAGGCNCUUCCUGGACCAACAUUGA
rnacentral:rRNA from 1 species